UACGUAGGGUGCAAGCGUUUAAUCGGAAUUACUGGGCGUAAAGCGUGCGCAGGCGGUGAUGUAAGACAGGUGUGAAAUCCCCGGGCUUAACCUGGGAACUGCAUUUGUGACUGCAUCGCUGGAGUGCGGCAGAGGGGGAUGGAAUUCCGCGUGUAGCAGUGAAAUGCGUAGAUAUCGGAAGGAACACCAGUGGCGAAAGCGGCUCCUGGUCCAGCACCGACGUCAGGCACGAAAGCGUGGGGAGCAAACAGG
rnacentral:rRNA from 1 species